rnacentral:tRNA from 1 species
CGGCUUGCAACCUCGUCUCGUGGUUAGAGCCGACCGCUCAUAACGGUCUGGUUGCAGGUUCGAGUCCUGCCGGGCCCACCA